rnacentral:lncRNA from 1 species
AAGAAGAAGAAGAAGAAGAAAAGCUUGGAGAAAUCAAGAGCUUGGAAUCACUGUCAUCAUCUUCAUAUCAUCAUCUCAUCCUCAACAACUUCUUCUCUUCCAUUCCUAAGGUGGGUUCUAGUUAGAAACCCUAAAUUUAUAGAGAUUAAGGUUGUAGAAUCAUAGGUUAAUUAUAAGAAUCCAUGUUAUAUGAUGAAUGUUUCCUCUUGAUUGUCAUGAUUCCAUGAACAAGUGUUUUGAUAUACUCUUCAUGAUUAUUGUGACUAAAUGAUUGAUUAUGGUUGUUGUUAUAAA